GAUGAACGCUGGCGGCGUGCCUAAUACAUGCAAGUCGAACGCAUAGCGAAAGGUGCUUGCACCUUUCAAGUGAGUGGCGAACGGGUGAGUAACACGUGGACAACCUGCCUCAAGGCUGGGGAUAACAUUUGGAAACAGAUGCUAAUACCGAAUAAAACUUAGUGUCGCAUGACACAAAGUUAAAAGGCGCUUCGGCGUCACCUAGAGAUGGAUCCGCGGUGCAUUAGUUAGUUGGUGGGGUAAAGGCCUACCAAGACAAUGAUGCAUAGCCGAGUUGAGAGACUGACCGGCCACAUUGGGACUGAGACACGGCCCAAACUCCUACGGGAGGCUGCAGUAGGGAAUCUUCCACAAUGGGCGAAAGCCUGAUGGAGCAACGCCGCGUGUGUGAUGAAGGCUUUCGGGUCGUAAAGCACUGUUGUAUGGGAAGAACAGCUAGAAUAGGAAAUGAUUUUAGUUUGACGGUACCAAACCAGAAAGGGACGGCUAAAUACGUG
rnacentral:rRNA from 1 species